GAUGAACGCUGGCGGCGUGCCUAACACAUGCAAGUCGAACGGUAGCAGGUCUAGUUUACUAGAUGCUGACGAGUGGCGGACGGCUGAGUAACGCGUGGGAACGUGCCCUAAAGUGAGGGAUAACGCACCGAAAGGUGUGCUAAUACCGCAUAUGAUCUUCGGAUUAAAGAAUUUAUUCGCUUUAGGAGCGGCCCGCGUCGGAUUAGCUAGUUGGUGAGGUAAUGGCUCACCAAGGCUCCGAUCUAUAGCCGGUCUGAGAGGACGAUCGGCCACACUGGGACUGAGACACGGCCCAGACUCCUACGGGAGGCAGCAGUGGGGAAUAUUGGGCAAUGGACGCAAGUCUGACCCAGCCAUGCCGCGUGUGUGACGAAGGCCUUAGGGUUGUAAAGCACUUUUAGUAGUGAAGAUGAUGACAGUAGCUACAGAAAAAGCCCCGGCUAACUUCGUGCCAGCCGCCGCGGUAA
rnacentral:rRNA from 1 species